GCCAGUGUGGCAUAGUGGUUUGAGCAUUGGACUAGAUCUCUAGAGACCAGGGGUUCGAAUCCCGACUUGGCCA